rnacentral:rRNA from 1 species
UACGUAGGGUGCAAGCGUUGUCCGGAAUUAUUGGGCGUAAAGAGCUCGUAGGCGGUGUGUCGCGUCGGCCGUGAAAACCUGCAGCUUAACUGUGGGCUUGCGGUCGAUACGGGCAUCACUGGAGUUCGGCAGGGGAGACUGGAAUUCCUGGUGUAGCGGUGAAAUGCGCAGAUAUCAGGAGGAACACCGGUGGCGAAGGCGGCGACCUGGGUCGAUACUGACGCUGAUGCGCGAAAGCGUGGGGAGCAAACAGG